GAUGAACGCUGGCGGCGUGCCUAAUACAUGCAAGUCGAGCGAACAGAUGAGGAGCUUGCUCCUCUGACGUUAGCGGCGGACGGGUGAGUAACACGUGGAUAACCUACCUAUAAGACUGGGAUAACUACGGGAAACCGGAGCUAAUACCGGAUAAUAUAUUGAACCGCAUGGUUCAAUAGUGAAAGACGGUUUUGCUGUCACUUAUAGAUGGAUCCGCGCCGCAUUAGCUAGUUGGUAAGGUAACGGCUUACCAAGGCAACGAUGCGUAGCCGACCUGAGAGGGUGAUCGGCCACACUGGAACUGAGACACGGUCCAGACUCCUACGGGAGGCAGCAGUAGGGAAUCUUCCGCAAUGGGCGAAAGCCUGACGGAGCAACGCCGCGUGAGUGAUGAAGGUCUUCGGAUCGUAAAACUCUGUUAUGAGGGAAGAACAAAUGUGUAAGUAACUAUGCACGUCUUGACGGUACCUAAUCAGAAAGCCACGGCUAACUACGUG
rnacentral:rRNA from 1 species